UAUUUUAGCUAACUUUAUACGUAGAGAAUACUGAUCCUCUGCAGUAAGGAUCAGUAUUCUCUACGUAAAAUGGAUGAAUGGUAGCAUUCUGUA